rnacentral:tRNA from 1 species
UCCCGUGUGGCUCAGUUGGUAGAGCAUGGUGUUUGCAAUGCCAGCGUUGAGGGUUCGAUUCCCAUGGGGG